AACCCAUGCAUCGGAUAUUUUCGAAUUAAGUCUUUAAAUUGCUCCCAAGCUUUAUAUAGCAUUUCAUCCUUUAAUUGCUAAAAAGAUAUGAUAUCAUUUCUAAGCUU
rnacentral:snoRNA from 1 species